ensembl:lncRNA
GAGGGGUCUAUGAUGGGUACGGAGUUCCCGCCUCUGGAUCCCCGCACGCGAAUAUGUGAUGAGCUGGGCUUUAAAUAAAGCCGUGCGUACAGCGACAUCGCGUUCUCUGGUCUUCGAGCUGCCCUCCUGCUGCUGCUCGACCUUGCAUCCUCUCCUCCGGUCUUUCAGAGACUCACAGGCUUCUGUUUUUCUUCGUGUCUAAUCUCGCGCAACCAUGCCAAGCAAGAGGAAGAAGAAUAAGCGCCGCAUGAGGAGAGUGCAGUUGCAGAGGCGGGCACUAGAGGAACAGUAUGCCGCCGCAGCUAAAGGAACUCCUGCGCUCAGGGCAGUCUCUGCCCCGGGCGCCGUCCCCGUUGUUGCCAAACCCGUCAAGGCGCCCAAACCCCCCGUUGCUACCUUCAAACCAAAGCAGCCCAAAGCCCCCGCCCCAGUUAUUGUCCCCCAAAUUCCAGAGGUGUCUGCAUGCCCCCCAGUUGAACCCCCAACCGUCGCUCCUACGCUCCCAGAGCUUGUCCCAGAGCUUGUCCCAGAGGUUCCUAUUGAGGCGGCUCCUGUAGUAGAAGUCCCAGAGGUCUCAGAGGUUUCCCCAGUGGAAGCACCUGCGCCUGAGCCAGAGCCAGAGCCCGCUACAAUCCCAGAACUCGCCCCAGUAGAGCCGGAAGAACUGCUCAAAGAACCAGAAGCAGUCGCGGAACCAGAAGCAGUCGUGGAACCAGAAGCAGUCAAAGAAUCGGAACCAGAAGUGGUGCCAGAACCAGAAGUGGUGUCGGAACCAGAAGUGGUACCAGAACCAGUCGAGGCUGAACCAGAACCGGUUCCGGAACCUGAAGUGGUGGCGGCAGCAGAACCAGUCGAGACUGAACCAGAACCGGUUCCAGAACCUGAAGUGGUGAAGGCAGCAGAAGCAGUUCAUGUCGCAGAGGAAGUGUCGGUCGUAGAGGAAGUGUCGGUCGCAGAGGAAGAGUUGUUCGCAGAGGAAGAGUGGAAGCCCGUUAAAUGCCCGGCAGGGUUGCCAGCAGAUGUCCUUUCAGUCGCGUUGGAAGACCCCAUUAUCCCAGCCCCUGCACCAGAGGGCGAGACACAAGCUGCCCCCAGCGAAGACGCAGUUGUCCAGGAAACCAUCGAGGUUUGUGAAGACGCAGUUGUCCAGGAGACCAUCGAGACAUCAGAAGUGGACGGUGUGGCAUGGGCGCCCGCUGUCGAAGCACCAGAAGAGAUCGUACCUGAACCCAGUGUUGAAGAAGAACAAAAGUCCGUAUCGGAGCCCGUUGACGUGUUAGCUGAGCCUGCACCUGAGCCUGCAGAUGAAGCCCAAACCCUUUCAGAAAAUGCAGUCGAACCAGUUUCGGCUGACGCCGAGGUGGUGGAACCCGAGGCUGUGGCCAUGCCUGAGCAAGAGUCGCCUGAAGACGCAGAUGAAGCUGUGAUUGCACAACCUGAGGUCGAAGAAGCCAUGGUGAAGACUGUGAGUGAAGAACCAGAGGUGGUGGAGGUGGUGGAGGUGGUGGUGGCCCCCGCAGAGACCGUGGAAGCUGAGCAGGUUCCUGAGGUGACUCCUGCUGCUCCAGAGCCAGAGCCAGAGGUGUGCCCAGAUGUUCCAGCCCAGAUUGAGGAGGCUGUUGCGGCUGAGGCUGCCCCUGUUGCCCCUGUCGUCGAGCCUGAGGUUGCCGCGGCUGAACCCGUGACCCCUGACACCAUGGCUGAGGACUUUGUUGUGACCGAAUCUGCGGUUGCUGUGGAGGCGGCCAUGUCUGUACCUGCUGAGGAGCCUGCUCCAGUUGCCAUCAUUGCUGAGACCCUGGUCCUGCCAGAGGUGGAGGUGGAGGUGGAGCCCAUCGCUGAACCCACCCCUCUGUCAACCAACGAAGUCAUCAAGGUUAAAGAGGAAAUUGUGACUGAAGUGGAGAUUGAAACAAAAAUGGUAGUGGAGGCUCUGAAUGGACACGUAACACCAGAAGUGGCUAUUGAGAGCUAAACAUAAUGUGUGCACAAAGGGACUCCGAAAAACAUCUCCGUUCAAAGUGCCUUUUUCCUGUAUGGGCUCUCAAAUCUUUUGGAUGUGGAGCGUAGAUUCAGACAGAUGUCAUGAUUUUCAUGUGAAUACUGGCUCUUUUUGAUUGGCGUCCAUAUCUUCAUGCAUAUUUGCAGACACUGUAAUACGCAUACACGGAGCUGUUUUGGUGAAAUCUCACAAUUUAUAUGUUCAUAUUUGGACCAUUUUUGUAUUGAAAAGUUUUUUUUUUAUUUUGCCUUCUCUUUUCCUUUUUUGUAAAAACAGUUUGGACUGUAGAGCUGCCUCCCAAGGCUCCUGUUUACUAUUUCAGAUGGUGCCUUUUUCCUUAAGUUUGAAUGGAUUUCACUGGAGGAGCCCUUUCUGUGUGUGUGUAUGUGUGUGUGUCUGUGCUGUGCGCCUCUUGUUAUGACUGCAAGUGUCCCGCAUCAGCGCGGCACACUGGAGAAAGUGCAUCCGUUCUCUGGACAGGGCUGUAGUCCGGCAGGGCUGCAGAGGUUGGACUCUCAGGCCACACGUGUUGUCUUUUCCUCCUGCCUUUUGUAAACAAGUCUAUUUGGUACAAGAUGGCUGCUGGAAGCCAUGGUCCACCGCAGAUGGAGCUUUUAACGGUUCUUUCACUCUCAAUAAAGAAAUCGAACUCACCAUGACCCCUCUGGCUGACUCUCAUUCAUUCAGGCUUAACUUCAAAGGAACGGGAUUUAGCAGAAGCUCUUAUGCAAAGUUACUUACAAAUCUCAUCGAAGGUUUAGUGUCUAUAACACUUACAAAUCUUAUCGAAGGUUUAGCCUCUCAAUAACAAAAACAAUAUCUAAUGCAUUCAUGAUUGUAACAUAGUAAUUAUAGCCGUGACUCGGGAGGGCUCUUGCUCCGUGAUGUAUCGUGUUCAAAUUAUGCAACCACAUCUGUUGUGUGUAAACUCAGAGUUUUAGACAUUGGCAGAACUAUCUUCCUGUUUCCAGAUAGUGGCACUAACUUGGAGACAGUUUCCACAUUCAUAUGGCAAUGUGCAAAUAGUCUAGUGAUCAUUUGAUGAAUCGCCACACUUCUCUUGUGCUAUAGUACUACUAUAUCAAGAGUUUAGAUGGUUCAACAUGCUUGCAUCACGGAGGCCAAAUUCUUUACGCAUGUGAUAUUAUCUAGCGUUGCAUGCAUGGUUACUUUAGAUCUGUCUGGUAAAGUUCAUGAGUUUGUUAACAUUAGAAGCAUCACUUUUUUGUGUAUGGAAUACUGCUAUAAGCAGACAUAAGUCAUAAUGCGCAAUGUCUAAAAUAUUUUGUGCAGUCUAAACCUCAUGAGUGGGUUUUGUGAUGCAAUACUAUCCACUGCAUUGAUUACAUAGCCAUGGCAACAUCUGAUGACAUAUGAGGAAUAUUGGUGAUUUUAAACUUUAAACUGUAAUUGGUGCAAUUCAUAUGACUUGUGAUGUUGGAGAAAGAACUGUACAUUUACUUUACAUGAGUGGGCUAUAAGUUAUGCAUUUCAAACAUUAGAAGAAUUUGUUUGUGUGUGUGUGGAAUACAUUCACAAAUUACUGCUCAAUUUCCAAAAUAUUUUGUGCAGUUUAAACUUUGAGCAUAUGGAUAUCAUAACUCAUAACCUUU